rnacentral:tRNA from 1 species
AGUCCCGUAACUCAGUUGGUAGAGUGCCUUCCUUACAAGCAGGAUGUCACAGGUAUCUCCUGGCGGAGACGCUGCGCUAACAAUUCCUGUCGGGACUA